rnacentral:lncRNA from 10 species
CUGUGUAUAAUAUCUAUUAACAUCAAAUAAAUGAAUAUUAAAUAAAUGAUUAAGAGAAAAUAAGGGAAUUCUUUUCCAAACCAAAAUCUCCCAUAUAAGGUAGGGAAUUCAUUCUGUCUUAUCUCUGGUUCCCUCCUUGAUUCUUAUAUUAAAAAAAGCCACUAGGAUCAGAUGGCUAUAGCAGGGUGCAGGGUGGGAGUAGAGUGGGGGACACGGGGACAUGCCUGCUUGACUUAUGUUUUUCUUGUUCCCCUCCUGCAGCUAUACAUUUCCGAAGACAGAGAAGAGGAAAAAGGAGGUAGAGUCUGGUAUGAGGGCACCAGGGAACAUUUCCUUACUUCACAAUUUGGUGAACUGAGUAGAACUGCCUGACAUCACACAGAGGGUAAACUUCUGCCUAGGGCCAUGGAAAAAGGCAAGAAGGUCCCGUGACCAAGAAAUGACCAGCUCCACAGAGGAAAUGCAGGGCCACUCUCCGACUGGACCCCACUGUGCACAAGGUGAGAAUUCAGCCUGUUUAUCAGGGUUUCCCUUAUUAAAGUAUAUGUCAAAAAGGCCUGGUAGAAAUGUAACUCUGUGAUGUUAAUUUUGGAAAGUCUCAUCUAGAACUUUCUGGGAAGUAUUUGAAAGCACAGUUGUGGAAUCAUUUGAAGACUCAAACAUAUAAAUUAAACACUCUUCUUGGAUACAGCAGUUAGAAUAUGGAACAGAUAGGGUCUACAUUGGAGAAAUGAGAGAUGUGGCAAGUGCUUAGCCUCUCUGAGACUCAGUCUCAAUGUCUCCAUCAGGGACAGCUAGCUAGCUCACGGAAUUAUUGUGAGGGUUCACUGUUAUAAUUUAUUCCAAGGUCCACUGCAGCACCGAGGACAUAGGUGGCACUCAAGAAGCAGUGGCCAGUAGUAUUCUCUGCUAAAAUAUUUGCCACCUCAGCCACUUUGAUUCUGCUCCAGAGGGCUUUUUCGCUCAUCCCAUUGGCGACACAAGGCAGGUUAACUAAAGAUACUCUCACCUAAUCUAAAAAUUCAAGACAUCAGUCCACAAAAUACCAGAAUCACCAUGGAGGCAGCUGUUUAGCACUUUGGAUAGUCUAUUUCUCCCCCUAAAAACAGCCUACUUAAAACAGGGGAGAGUUAAGGUUCCAGGAUCUUACUCCUGAGAUUUUUUAUUUAAAGAACACCCCAUCUUUACUCGCAGCUGAGAGGCUAAGAUUAAAAAUUAGCCACUGUAUAGUAGCUGAGCAGUGACAAUUUUUCAUAAAGGUUUUUAGUACACAUUUGGGAUUAUAAUUUCAAUAUUAUGCAAAUGCAUUUUAUGGAUCUAUAAUACAGAAUGUGUACUGGCGUUAAUGUGCAUUAGCAGGCGAGAAGAAAAGGCUCCAAAUGAGCCAUUUUGGUGUCUGCUUUCAACAUGUAUUAUGAAUAAUAAGUAAAAUGUUCUGGUUUAGAACAAAUAAUAUAAAAUCUGAAUUCUUCUUGAUGUACAUCAGUGACAAAGCCCUACGCAACUCCCAUGGAAUUAUUCCAUUGGACACAAUUUAAAACUGGCUCUUAAACAAUAUAUUCCUGUUUCUGGCUUCUCUUCUUGAAUGAGAUGUGAAAGUAAAAUAAAUAUAUUUAAUAUGAAUACGGGAUAGUUCCCCCCAUUGCUCAAAAUCAGGCAUGAACUAGAUGAAGGCAUUGGGAAGGCUGAAACACCAUAGUGGUCAAGAGAGUGGCCCAGGAUACUUGUAAUUUGAGAGGCUCUGAGUAUUGAAAAGUGAAGAAGCAUCUAAAUAGGGUUAUAUAACUUGCAUAUUUUCAAUGAAUAAAAUUAACAAAUAUAAUGCCUUUAACACAAAAUAUUUAAUACAAGAUGACUGUAUUAUUCUGAAGAUAUUUAAAUGAUGUGUAAGUAAUAUUUCUUAAUGUAAUGUGCUGCAAGCUUUGUUCCAAAAUGGGAACUUGAGUUGAAAUUUGUCUGAUGUCUAUUUUCUUUCAGCCUUGUCAGAGUGUUUCUGUGACUGCAGAUUAGAAUAAAAUUCUCACAAACUAAUUUGAGGCUUUUCGUAAAGGCAGAGGACUGAGCCAAACAACUAGCUUCUCAUGAUAGAGCCCCAAAAUGUUUCCUUUUUAAUUAAUAUUUCCAUGUUGCAAUUUUGCAUGUACAGAAGGUGGUAGCUGGUUAUUUUAGUAGUAAUUCAAACUUUCUAUUUGCAUUGAUUUAGUUAAGACUUUCAGAUCUAUUGACCCUGUUUCUUGAAUGCAUGUUUCACACCUGCCCCAUUCUUGGGCAGCCUGCAGGAAUACAAGAUCACACUGUCCAAUGAGUAUGGACUAAGCAUUCAGCUGAGUAACAAUAAUACAAUCAUCUUGUCUCUCAAACAGGUGCCCUUAACUUAAUGUUUUUUAAAAUGCCACCACGUCCAUGACAUCUUCAAAAUGAUACUAAAAAUAUCCAUGCGAUGAGUUCUGUGUGUGUUAAGUGUUUUAUAUGCAUUAUCUCAAUUGACUUCCAAAGCAACCUCACAAGGUCAGUUUUACAAUCCCCAUGAAAUGGUUGAAGAAUUUGGAGUCUAAAAAGACUAAGUAAUUUGUACAAAAUCACAAUUAUACAGGUCUAAUUUUGCAACCCAAACUCUUGACCAGUAUAUAACCCUGAAUCCAGUAUUAAUGUAGUAGAUAAUUGUCUUGGCUUAAUUUAUCAUAUAAGUUAUAGAAAUGGUGUUUUGUCCUUACUCUGACAUGGGGACUAUAAUUGACACUAAAAUCUGAAUCAAUUUCAACCAGUCAUUGCUUCACUUCACUACUUGUCUACAUUGCUGCAGUUGGUUGCUGCUUUCCAUUUCCCCCGAUGCUUUUCCAUUCGAGAUGGAGGUCUGUGGAAGGAAAGAUGGAUACAGCAAGAGGGUCUAUCCAAGAACCCAAUAAAUAUGUACUGCAUAAAUAAAUCAGAUGUUUUAAAUUUGGCAAUUUAAAUUCAGCAAAAAGUCUUUGACAACCUGUGGAGUGUAAGCUAUGGUUUCUAUCCUUGCAACCUUAAAAUUUCAAAAAGCCCCAAAUUCAAGCUUAUCAGUAGCAAGGAAGCCCUUCCAAAUAUUAACUUACAAUCAAUAUUGGAAAAAACUGAGUAGUAUAUUGUGUCCUAUUUUGAAAACAAGCUAUUUGCCAUGUGUAGAUAAGAUUCCUACACUAAAGAUAUCUUUUUAAUAGUUGAAAUAUGAGAUGCCGAGUAAUAAAACUUGAAGUACAGUGGAGCAGCUCUGAGAGAACAAGUGGCACAUUGCCUUGAAAUAAUACUCUCAACGCCAUUUGCUGAGUCUUCUAUGCUCUUGGCCCUUUGCACAAUCUCACUUAAUCUUCACUGCACCCUGUAAGGUAAAUAUUAUUAUCUUCAUUUUACAGAUGAGGAAAUUGAAGCUUACAUAAAUUGUCUGAGGUCACACAGUUAAUAAGUGGUUGAAUGUGGAUUUAAUUCGAGGUCUGCUUUAUUUCAAAGUGAUUCAGUGAGUGAGACAGAGAGAAACAAAGAGAAGACAGUGGUUUUUAAAGAAAGAAUGAAUCUCAAUUUUCUGAAACCCUAUAGCAAUUCCUGCCUUUCUUGUGGCUCUUACCAUAUUCUGCUGUUAUUUCUGGAUUUCUUAUAUAACCUUUACUGAAUUAUAAGCUAUUCUAUUUGAGAGAAGAGACCACACACAAACCAUUUCUGUAUUCCCCCAGGACCUUGUUCAGUGCCUGGAACAAAGAUUACAAAUCACCUGGAGAUUACUGGAGGACAAGAGAAAGGGGAGAAACAGCAAGACAGAAGGUGGCAAGGUAUCCGCUGUGAAGUCUAGAAGGACUGUGUACACCAUGGUAAAGUAUUUCUCUAUCCUGAUCUUUCUGGGGAGGGUUUAUGCAGAGGAGAGGCAAGACAAGGCAUAUAUUUGAGAAAGAGGAUCAUUAGCUGAAUUGUGGAGAACAGACUCGAAGAGGAUGCUACUGGUUGCAGGGAACAGGAAAGAAAACCAAGGAAGCAAUCACUAAAGCCAGUGGGAGGGAGGGUCUUGCCAUUAGAGAAGAGAAGGCCAUUUUGUAUACACAGCUGACGCUUGAACAACACAGGUUUGAACUGUGAGAGUCCACUUAUAUUUGGAAUUUUUUCAAUAAAAGUUACAUGGAGUGUGCCUGCCUCUCCUGCCUCCUCUUCCACCCCCGCCACCCUUGAGACAGCAAAACCAACCAUUCCUCUUCCUCCUCUUCCUCAGCCUGCUCAAUGUGAAGAUGACGAGGAUGAAAACCUUUAUGAUGAUCUACUCCUAUUUAUGGAGGAAGACCCAGUGGGCUUUUACUGUAGCUGGAACAUUAGACACCAAAACGCAGCCCUUUGCUAGAAGAUGCGUCUUUGUGUUUGCUGAAUGUGAGAGGGAUGGUGGCACAUUCUAUAUUAACCAGAAAAAUGUUCCUGAUGAUAGGACCAACUUUGAUGUCCCUCGGAUCUAGGAGCCAGGCUUAUGGCUGGAGCAGCAACAAUAUUAGGUGUUGAUUAUGGAGUCACUCAGGGACCACCAGAAGCUCAGACUCUCCCCAGAGGCUACCUUAUGUGUGGGGGCAAUUUAGGCCCUUCUUCCCUCUCUCCCUGUCAUGAUCUUCUUCACUAACCAAUUGAGGAACCUAUAAUUAAUAUCAUUUUUCACUGUUUGGCUUAAUGCUUUUAAGCCCUGUUAAAAUGCAAACAAGAUAUCUGGAAAAGUUGAUAAGGAGAUAUGUGAACAUUCAUUGACAUCUCGGCAUGCAGCAGGUUCUCAACUUAGUCAAAAUUACGGCACUGAGUAGGAUGAACUGGAACAUCAGGGCAGGCAGCACAAAUGAUGGGAAAAUGAAGUGUUGCUGAGAGAACAUCCUGAUGGCCAGGAUCACUAUGUACGAAAUGCAGGGGUAUACAGAGAGGAUUGGGAAUGAUUCUCAAUGGUGACUAACAUUUGUAGAAUUCACCUGUGAGGGCAGGCAGUACUAUCAUUAUCCCCACUUCCCAGAUGAGAAAACUGAGGCCCAGAGAUGUUAAGUAAAGUAACUUGCUCAUCAAGUUUACCCAGCCAGUGUGACAAUUUAUACUACGGAAUUGGGUGGGUCUAAAAGCUAAUUUACCUUAGUUCAGAAUUUAGCCUGAGGCUGUCUAGGAAUAACAGAUCUUGCUUUGCUUAAAGCCAUGAUGUUAGAUUAAUUGAUAUUGUGACCCUUGGCAAAUAUCAAAGUUUCGUGGAAUUCUCUAUAAUAAAGACUCUAGACUUUAGAAAAGUCAAUUCAAAACACUAAAGUUAUUCCUUUAUUCCUACUGUUAUCCUAUUCUGUUCCUUAGCUCACAAAGGAAAAAAUAAUCCCCUAUUGACCUCCAAAUUUAGCAUUCAUUUGAUUUCAUUUAUACAUUUAAAAUAGAGAAGAAUUAAAGCAACCUUAUAAAUUAUAUUUUAAUAAGAAUAUUGAUAUCUGAAAAGCUAGCAACCCAGAGAAAUGUUUUUCUUGCUUGACUUAGAUAAUAUUUUCAUCAACAUAAGAAAAACAAAUUGAGCCCCUAUGAAGUAUAGGGUGUGCCCUGGAUUUUAGAUGGUUGCCUAAUUUUCCUUUUCAUGUCUGUUAAAAGCCAAGUUUAAUUUGGAGCUAUUUCUCAAGAAGGGUGAGCAGCUGUGAUUGAUUUAUUUGAAUACUUUACAACAUUUAAAAAUAGUUUUUCUAAUUCACCAGAGAAUUAUUAAAUCCUUGGGGCUGUAUGCUCUCUUUUGUAGUCUUAGGUUCUCUCUCAUGCUUGGACAAUUCUAGUGUCUUUGCCAACAAUAGCUACUUUUUCUUGCACACCACUAAACUAAUCAUUGCAAAAGGUCAUUGUUGUGACAUCAUUCUCCUGUCCCAAACUGUCAGUGGCUCUUCACUUCCUCCCAAGUAAACUCUGUGUCAGAGCCUCCACCAUCUGGGUGCUGUUUACUAUUCAAUACAUAUUUCCCACAGCUUUCUGGGCAAGCCCACUGUGCCUGGCACUGUCUCUGAUCUCCAUGGUGCUGCACGUCUGGCCACCACCCUUUCCUCCCCUCCCUUAGUUAUUUGGCCUCCAAUGCCUUUACCAUCUCUCCAGCCUCCUCCCACGCACUCCCCACAUCUUUGAAAUCUUUUUCUUUUCUUUUUUAAUUCCAGCUCUUUUCCUCUCUAAAACUCAAGAUUUGACAUUUAUUCUAGAAUCAUAAAAGGCUAGAACUCACGGGGACAGGAGUGGAGCUAUCUGUCAUUUUUAAAUAUAGCUUCUCUCAAUCUUUAUUUAGUGGACUUGCUCUGGAUUAGGGAUGAGAAGACCUGACUCUACUGUUUUCUUGAUAAGUGACCUUGAACCAGACACAUGUGCUCAAGUUCCAUAUCUGUAAAAUGAAGAUACCUGGCCUUCCUACUUCACAAGGUUCUUUUGAAGAUCAAAUGUAAUACUGCAUAAUAAAGUGACUCAUAAAUUCUUUUUUUUUUUUUUUUUGAGAUGAAUUCUCACUCUGUUGCCCAGGCUGUCAUGACCUGGUGCAAUUUCAACUCACUGCAACCUCCGCCUCCAGGGUUCAAGAGAUUCUCCUACCUCAGCCCCACCGAGUAGCUGGGAUUACAGGCAUGCACCACCACUCCCGGCUUUUUUAUUUUAUUUUUAUUUUUUGUAUUUUUUGUAUUUUUAGUAGAGAUGGGGUUUUGCCAUUUUGGUGAGGUUGGUCCUGAACUCCUGACCUCAAGUGACCUGCCCGUCUUGCCUCCCAAAGUGCUGGGAUUACAGGAGUGAGCCUCUGCACCUGGCCUGACCCAUAAAUUCUAAAGUACUAAGUGAUGUCCUCAUAUAUAGCACAGUCCCUCCAGCCCCUGCAAUUCAAAGAUACAUCUCACUGUACUUAGGAGAGUUAGAGUAGAGGCAUGACCUAACUUGUUAGCUGUUUAUCUCCUAUAGAAAGUGGUCAACAGAUCUUUGUUGGUAAAAUGAAUGAAUAUUCAUUUCUUAUCUUUCAAUGAGAAUGUGAUAACUUUGGUUAUUGAUGUAUACUUCCGUGCAAAUUUGCUCAUGCAAUUUCAACCACAUCCCCCAGAACAACUUUCUACCAUGCUAAUUGCUCCGAACAUUUAAAUACCAGCAUAGGAAUGGAAGCUACUGACUGUUAACAUUUCUCACAUUUAGUUGCUGAAUGCCUCUCACAUUUACUUACUGAAUGUGUGCUUUAGACCAUCUUAAAAAUAUAAUAGUAUGUCUGAUAAAGAGGCCCAUCAGUCCUCAAAAUGUCUUCAUCUUUUAGUGUUGAAACAAUAAUGAUGAUUUGCUUCAUUUGUGCUCUACACACCAAUGAGAUGAGCUAACUGCAUAUCUACUAUGAAAUAAUGUCUAUUAUUACAUGGAUAACUACCCAUUAACUCCAUUGGAAACACUGGUAAUUACACAGUAUGUUACGUUAAUGCACCUGUGUUAGCUUCUGAUUGCCAUAUUAUUAAUUCAAGUGACCUCUUGAAUUAAUUCAAGUUUCCCAUCAUCAUUUUCUUAUUCUGGAACUCUCUAACACUUUAGAGACUGUUGGCUAAACAAUAAAAGUAUACAGUGAAAACUAUUUUCAAAAAAAAGAGGAUCUGAUGUGUGAUCCCAUUGAUGUUUGUUGUUGUUUUUCACUUCUUUGCUUGACAUAUAUAAACAACUUUAGAGCUAUAUUCUGUUACCUUCUGUGCAAAAUUAGAACAAUUUUCACUUUGUGAAGAGUUGCAGAAAGAUUUGACCUUUAAAAACUCUGAAACACGUCUGGUUCACAAACAGAAUCACAUCUUAAAAGCCCUAAGUUUGCUCUAAAAGUGUCAAUCAAGUUUUCAGCACACUAACACACGUAAUAAUGAAAGGCUUGUAUUUGCUCCUAAAACCCAAGUUGCCUCCCAGUCACUCUGCAUCUGGUUACACCAAACUUAACUUUUCUACAGUCCAUCUAGUCCUGACCUUCCCCUCUUCUUACGAGCCCCCAUUUAACCAAAGCAACUCCAGCCCAGGAGAUGAAAACCCCAUCAGCAUUUUCAUAGUUAAUGACAGGGCUACAAAACAGAAAAUAACAGCGGGAAUCUGAAGCCAGUGCUUUUAUUGGACUAACUAACGAUAUAAAUAAAAUGGUCCCUGACUGAGCUUUGGAGAAUCACUGUCUCUUUAUCAGGCCAUAGAAAACAGAUCCAGGAGGGCAAUAAAUACAGCACAUAACAGAGUGGAAUUAAAUGAUUAGGCCUGAAUUAACACCCUGUUUCUGAGCCUCACUUAGUGUUCCAUGGCCCCAAUGAAACACUGCAAUUCACAAAUGCUCAAGGCCCAUUUAAUUUUUAUUUCAAGCUAGUUCAGAAGAAGGGAUUACCUAUAACUCCCCCCUAUUCCAUUGUGUAACUCUCGAAGUAACAACACUGAUCCUGUCUAGAUAGCUGUUAGGAAAAUAGGCUGUGCUAUAGGAAACACAGAGUCUAUUCAGAAUCCUGCCUCUACAAAAAUCACAUUAAUUCAAAGGGACCAAAUCCCUCUCUGUGAAAGUGACAAGGCUGUCCUUGAUGGGAAAAUAAUGAAUUAUUAGUUAAAUAAACUUGAUUAUUUUCCAUGACAUUAACAACAAACCUAUGCAACUGUCAGCCCAAGAUUUUUACUUUUUGAACUGUGGCUUUAGCAUGCCAAAGAUCCUAAUCAAGUCUUAACUGCAAAAUGGAAUUGAAUCUCACCUUGGAGGGUAAUCUAUGGAGGCCCAUCCCCCAUUACACCAUAUGUCACAGGAUAAGGUGGAUGAGUUUCACUUAAACCCUGUUGGCGGGGAGUUAAUAUUGUUCUAUACGUCUUCAUUUAUACAAUGGCUUUAGAGCAAGAAAUCCAAGGAUGGCAUAAGAGGAAGGCUUCACUGUAGCAGUGAAGUACUUAGAAAUUUUAGACGAAAUAUGCAGCAGAUGAAACUGAGUCAUUAAAACCACUUGUAUACCUGUGACUUGAAGUGAUGUAUGAGAUGGAGAUAUAUUUAGAAGGCAAGGUCCUCAAGAGGUAAGAGAGCUUGCAGUUUUGAGCACUUAGUAGAUGCUGUGUGCUGGUUUUUAUUUUUCCUCAUUUAAUCCUCACACUGUCCUAUAAAGUUGACAUAAUUAUUCCUGUUUACAAGUAAGGAAACUGACCCUCAAAGAGGAGUGUAAUAAUUGCCCAAGUUCACACAGGAAGUGGUAAGGCUGAGAUUCAAAUCCAGAUCUAGCUGAUUCCAAAGCCAGCCCUUUCCGUCAAUACUAUGACUGUCACCUGCUUAGAACUCCUGACUGCUGCCUGGAGCUUUUACUUGGGAUCUUCUAGAAUAACCAAAGAAACAACACACAGAAGAGGAUGAGACUAAUGAAGUAUAGUCUCAAACAGUAGGAAAAAACCCCAAGGGCUUUGGCACUGGAUGAGAUUAACUCUUAUAAAGCCCCAGGAGAUCCAGACAUUCAGUGAAUUAAGGAGCCCUCCUCUGAAAUUAAAUGAACCUGCCUGUCCAAAACUGCUUCCGAGUGUCAGCCAUGGCGUACAUGGGGUCCAGACUCUAUCAUCACCCUGAAAGGGCACCUUGAGCCUUGACUGAAGUAGAGCAGGGAGGAUUCUUCCACAUUUUCAAGAGUAUGAGGUUUGACCACACCCAAGUUUACCCUACCAGUCGGUUCAGCAUAGCGUGUAGCUGUGUAUGGGACAGAAAGGGACACCUAUUAGAUGGAACCUUCUGCCCCAACACUUUUGUACUACAAAAUAACUGUAAUUGUGGCUCAAAUUUAUGCUUAAGUAACUUCAGUGAAACAAUAACACACACAUAACUCUCAGAAAGCAAUCUUACUCAAAAGGCUUGGGCACUGAUACAUUGUGAAGAAAUUACACAAUAUGAAUUUUUUUUAAAAAGGUAAUCACUAGAAAGUUUACAGAUGAUAGAUUCAUGUUAGCAAAAGAGUGUUAAGUAUCUGUUGAAUUACAACUAGACACUUAUGGAAAGUGUCUAAUUUCACUUUCUCUGCACUAUCUUUCUGUAUUACCAGUACCCAAUAAAUUAAAUGCUUUUGACAUUCAAUCAAUAUUACAUGGUAAUAAUCACAUCUUUUCAUUAAAAAGGAUAAAUUCCUUAAAAUUUUAUGUUUUAAGAAAAGGUCUUUGUUUACCAAAAGGGAUAGCAAAAUGAUUUAAGUGAGUUUAAUUUGAAUUAUUAAUUUUUUGUUCCUCGGCCAGCAGUUCUUCAGCAAAGGUCUAGAUUAUGGUGAUUGUUCUUGGUUGUGGUUUUUUAACAGUAAUGACAAGGCCCUUGAUAUCCUCUGGCCUUGACUUAGACACAAUUGCAGGCCUCCUUUUCACCUUUAGUUUUAGUAUUAAGGAAAAUCUAUCUCACUGUCAGGAAUAAAAGCCAGACUAUGUCUUUGAAUUUGAGUCCUUGUCUACUUGACUCCACAGCAAGCCAUAGUUUUAAGCAGCUUUUUUGGGAGAUAGGACCACGUGAAGCAUCUGCCAUGCCCAUUUGCUUAUUUAAGUACUUGUUUUUGUAUUUUGAAAGCAUAACUUCAGUUUAAAAAAUCCACAUAAAAAUGGGGUAAAACUUGGAACAAAAUUAUGGACUACCAGAGGUUUUCACUUACAACUGGCUACAGAAGCAGAGUGCAAUGCAAUCACAAAGAAUUAUUCCUUUAAAAUUGUGAGGUAUCACAUCUGCAUUUUUGAGUGAAUAGCUGACUAUGAUAAAGAGACCAGUUUUACCUUUGUAAAGCUGUAUGUCUCUUCCACGAAGUAGUUCUUUCAUCUAACAUGCGGAUUGCAAUAACUUACAG